rnacentral:rRNA from 1 species
UACGUAGGGUGCGAGCGUUAAUCGGAAUUACUGGGCGUAAAGCGUGCGCAGGCGGUUUGUUAAGUCCGCUGUGAAAUCCACGAGCUCAACUUGGGAAUUGCAGUGGAUACUGGCAAGCUGGAGUAUGGUAGAGGAAGGUGGAAUUCCCGGUGUAGCAGUGAAAUGCGUAGAGAUCGGGAGGAACACCAGUGGCGAAGGCGGCCUUCUGGACCAAUACUGACGCUCAUGCACGAAAGCGUGGGGAGCAAACAGG